UUAAGGAAAAAUAAACAUAUAAUCAAAGUGGAUCUCUAACAAAGUUUGCUCUCCACUUGUUGCUAAAGUUUUCUUAUCAUUCAGUUCCUAUCAUCAUAAAUAGAUUACUUUGCAUUAUAAAAAGGUUUUUUAAGAGAUGUCAACAUGAUUCAUAACGUUUCAAGACUUUACUUUUGUUGGCUUUGAUCUUUCGUAGAAAUCAUCAAUGACGCCAGCAUUAGCGGAAGCAGAUCCAUAAGUAGAGGAGAAAAGUGUAGCAGCUAAGAUAACCAUGGCGGAUCUUCUUCCAUUAUCACAUCACCACCAACUCUUAGGACAGCUUUGAUACCGGGAACUGUAUGUUCUUCUAACCAAACCCAACUGAUGAAUUCACUAAACACAUUUUCUGGUUCAGCUCUUCUGAGCCAGUGCCAGAGAUUACGUAGCUACAGGUGAGAACACUCGAGUUCAUGGCUGCCAUUAAAGGACCAUGUUGUUUCUCGGGUCUUGAUUGGUUGGGUGUUGAACCUUUUUUCAAGGAAGAAAAAUUUGAGGCCUUUUCCUUCUUUUUUUUUAAUCUUCUCCUGCAACGUAAAGAUAAACAAUCAAACUUUUGCAAAAUCAUCUGUACACAAACUGUUUUUUUGCCUCUAUCCUAGGUGUGAUUUACACGUGUGAAUGGUUUCUUCUUCCACCAACGUGUGCGCGCGCACAUACUUCAUCUAUUCCUCUACCAUGUUACAACUAUGAGAAAAGAAAUACAUUGCUGGUUCGCCAAGCAUCUAAGCUACUGCUUAUGACAGAGAAAACAAAAGAUAGACAUUGUUGGUUUCUUGAUCCAACCAUGUUUAAAAAAAAUAAGAGAAGACAAAAUUUACCAACAAUGGAUCAUGCGGAAAGUUGAAUUCAACAGACAUAAAAAAAAGGAUUACCUCUUCGGUUAAGCUUGGAUGGAAUUGUUUUGUUAGGUUUUGGAUGGUCUGUGGACCACCUUUGGAGCAAGGGAAACCAAAGUCCUAACCAAGUUGAAUAUUUUAGAAUAUUACCUAUUUGUAUGUGUUUUGAGUGGCUAAAUAUAGCACUUAACUAUAAGUUUAAACCAAAAAAAUAAUCAUAAGAUGAUCAAUAGAGACUUUCCCUUAAACAAACAAUGUAAGAGCAUAUGAAAACAUACCGUAAGGAGACGUGGAGACACUGUUCUGCAGUCCACUUCCAGGACUAAGAAAAUCAGCUCAUCCAUGCACUGGACGUCCCUAACCCGCAAAGACCAGUAUCUUACUUUGAACCACAAAGCUUUUCCUGCGUAAGUGCAAACGGUAAAGAUCACUCUCAAACUAUGCAACAACUGAGUUUAUUAUGCAAUAAAAAUUUAUUCAAGAUUCCGAAAGAGAAUGCAAGUGAACAUAUAUACCUAUUGCGAACCGUUGUGCUAAGAAGAAACUUAAGAAAUCUUGCUGAAACGAAAGCUCCCAUAGCCAAAGGAGUAUCCAUUGUGCUCUGAAAUAAUAGAGAGGAUAUCACUUACAACUACUUUGAGCAUGACAUUUAGAUUUACGAUAGCAUAGAAAUUAAAAAAGAAAUGCACUUUGACUUGGAAAAUACAUGUGGCAGCAUAGCAUGCAUCACCCAUUUCACUAAUUGGGAAACAAUAGCAUCCACACCCCAUCUUUCGAAACAACUUCACCGUCCAAAAUCCCAAAGCUUCUUUUGUAAUGGCUAUUCCUGCAAACAAUCAUUAUGUGACAAUUAUUUUAAAAGAGUAUUGUUACCUGAAUGGGAAAUCGAGUGGCAAUUACUAUCAUUAUGCUCAAUGAUAAAUUGCUUGCAAUAUACAUCCAUUUGGUAAAAAUGUUCUCUUUACAAAUAUCAAAAGAGCGCCUGCAAGAACUGAAAAGAGGGAAGAACUAUUUAAAAAAAAACAAAUGAAAGCAGGGGACUAAGACUUAUUAGAGGGCAAUCACACAGACUAAGUUUUUCUCAGACUUAUUGGUGCUCUAGGCUCCAAUUGUUGUCGCUGAGGUCCUUGGUUCUUCCGCCGCGGUUCUCUGGCUCUCAGACGGAGGUUGAGCCGGCGACGGCAAGUUUUUCUGCGGUAAGCCUCCAUCGCCAUAAAGAUUUCGUGUAACGUAGUAAACAGAGAAGAGGAAGAGAAAGGGGAUCGAAGAUCCAUUUAGCCGAUCAUCUCCAUCUCCGACAUACUUGAGGUUGAUUGCAUGUUCUUCAACCUUCAAUCACCACCGAUCUCGAGAUCUUCUUCUCCAAUUAUUAGGAUUGAGCACCGUGAAAAACUUUGAGAGCCAAACUUCGAAUCUUGUCGGAACACUGACCCUUAUGGUAGCUCCGAAUUUUCUGGAUUCUGACUUGAACUCGAAAGCAUGAUCCAAAACUCAAGACUUGAUCUUCGUGGAGACUUCACACAAACACGAGCCAAAGCUUUAUACCACCUUCGAGUCGAGGACUAAGCUUAUCUAACAAAGAGGAAAACAAAACCAUCUCGACCAAACAGAAUAAGGUUAUACGCAGAAGGAGAAGAACUAGGACAUAACUAUAUUUAUACUCAAAUCAUAUCAGAAGAGGAUAAGACUGAUAAUUGAUUCCGAUUUGAUUGAAUUUUACACUUCAAAAAACUCGCCAACAUGAAAGUAUAAAAUCGAUCAAAGAUCAACCGUAGUUAUUUUACAUCAAAAGAUAAGAAAACAUGAUGGUAACCGGCGGCAACCACCGAUCACCAGAAAUGGUUUUCUGAUUUCGAAACUUCUAGAAAGAAUAUGGAGCGUCUAGAAAGAGAGAGGGUUGGAAUAUCUUCUUUUGGUACAUGAGAUUAUUUAUUAUUUGAAAUAAAUUUAGUUGGGAGUUUUCAGCUUUAAAAUUAAAAUAAUUAGUUGGAACAUUGAAGUCAUAAACAUCACAUAACUGAUGUGGGAGUAAUGAGGAAAAAAAAGAAUAAAACAAAAAAGAGAAAGAAAUAUAAAAAUAUGAAAAGAAAAAUAAAAUAAAAAUAAUUAAAAAUAGUUAAGAAAAAAGAAAAUCUUUCAACCUUAAAAUGGCUGAUCGUGUCGAGACGGCAGCAGCACACUUGUCGUCCUUCCCAGAAGCUUCUCCGGUGUUUUCGCAGUCGCAAAUCUAAACCGUUAACUAGGUAGGUAUAAUAUAUUUAACCUGUAUUAUCCGUUUCUUAUAUAUAUCUGUGGAUCUGUCUUUGUCGGAUUAUCCACUUCGCCAUGUCUUCUCUUCACUUAAUAUCUGUUCCGUUGUUGUUGUGUGUUUUUAAAUUAGAUGAAAGUAGUAAAGAACUAAACUUUGGUAGUUAGACCAGUGUCUUAUUGAUCCGAUUCUUAUUGCUAACAGGUUUUUGUUGGUUUUCGACUCGACCGAUUAUUUAACAGAAAGUGAUUUGCUUUUUCUUCUAGAAUCUGUAUAAUUGUGUUGUGACAAGUAAUUUGUUCAAGUUAAUCUGUAUAGUUGUGCUGAUAAGAGAAAGCACUGUAUCUGGUAUGAAUUCAUUUCUCUUCAAAAAGUCUCUCUUUUUUUUAAUGACAAAACAUUAUCUGAAGAUCUUCCAUCAUUGAUUGACUUUGCUUUGCUCUUACAUCUGUACACACACACAUUUAUGUAGUUUUGUUGCUUUUGGUUCUCUUUACUUACUCUUUAUAUAUUGAUACACACAUUUCUCGAUUUGUGCGUGUCAUCUCACUUCUUGGAACUUCUUUCUUUCAUCGAUUCUUAGCAUUGUGUAUUCCACUCUAAUUUCUUUUACCUCUGAAAAGGAAGAUAGAAGAAUCAUUGAAGAAGAACUAGUGAACACAAGGAAUAUGGGAACUCACAUCAAUUUCAACAGCUUAGGAGGUGGUGGAAGUUACCAGAUGAAGCCAACAGAUAGUCCCAAUCCCCUGGCGAGACAGUCCUCUGUUUACUCCCUAACCUUUGAUGAGCUUCAGAGCACAUUCGGUGGACCGGGGAAAGAUUUAGGGUCUAUGAACAUGGAUGAGCUCCUGAAAAGCAUAUGGACUGCUGAAGAAGCUCAGGCCAUGACUUCUUCAGCUGCUACAGCGGUUGCGCAACAUGGUGGUGGGAAUCUCCAGAGGCAAGGCUCGUUGACAUUGCCUAGAACGAUUAGUCAGAAGACUGUUGAUGAGGUCUGGAAAUUUCUGAUCACCAAGGAUGGUGAAAUGGGAGGUAGCAGCAAUGGUGAGUCUAAUGCACAACAGACUUUAGGGGAGAUGAAGAUUGAGGACUUUCUGUUUCGCGCUGGAGUUGUAAGAGAAGAUAACAACGAGUUUUAUGGUAACAACGGUUCUGCUGAAGGGCUAGGCUUUGGAUUUGGUCAGCUAAAUCAAAACAACAUAUCAUUCAAUGGCACUAAUGAUUCCAUGAUCUUGAAUCAGCCACCUGGUUCAUGCCUCAAAGUGGGUGGUACAACUCAGCACCAGCGGAUGCCUCAAACCAUUUUUCCUAAACAAACAAACGUAGAAUUUGCUGCGUCUGUGUGUAUGGUCAACAAGGGCUUCACUGGGGCUGUGAACAAUGAUAAUGGAUUAGCUAGUUUCAGAGGAGAAGGGGUUAAAAUUGCAGCGACAUCACCAGGGACAAGCAGCGCGGAGAAUAACUCUCUGUCACCAGUUCCUUAUGUGCUUAACCGAGGAAGAAGAAGCAAUACGGGUGUAGAGAAGGUUAUCGAGAGGAGGCAAAGGAGGAAGAUCAAGAACAGGGAAUCAGCUGCUAGAUCUAGAGCUCGGAAGCAAGUGAGUAUUAAUUUAACCAAACUGUGGUAUAUCCAACUCUUUUUGCUUGGUUUGAUUAUUAUGUUGGUCUUGAAUCUUUUGCACUCAUUAUCCAUUAAUUGCAGGCUUAUACCUUGGAACUGGAAGCCGAAAUUGAAAAGCUCAAGAAAGUGAAUCAAGAAUUGCAGAGAAAACAGGUAUGUUUCUUUUUUUUAAUAGAAAAUAGCUGCUUGGUUAUGACAUUGAGCUUCCCCUAUGUUGCAGGCUGAAAUGAUGGAGAUGCAGAAGAAUGAGGUAACUGUCAUUGACUUUAUUAGUUUUUUUUUAUCAGUUCAUCUACAAACCAUGGACUCUGCAGCAUCAUAAAAGACCUUAUUUUAAACCCAUAAAUGGUCUAAUAGUUACUGACACCCAACCAUUUUUGUUUCUGAUUGUACAUCUAGUUAACGAUGAUCACAAAAAUGAUCUUAGUUCUGCUGUUCACGACUAGUGCUUUUGAAUUGGCAGGUGAAUGAACCGAGGGGCAGCAAGAGGCAGUGCCUGAGAAGGACACUAACCGGUCCUUGGUAAAAUCAGAAUGUAACAACAUGUACCGAGCAUACCAGACACCGGUUUGCAUGGGAAUAAUGUAAUAGGAGAUAGUGGUGCUACCUGUACAGGAGAUUAAGAGAAACUAGGAUUUGACCCGCCCUACGGGCGGGUUAGUAACUAAAAAAAGUACAUAAUGUAUCAUAUUUUUUAAAAAUAUUUUAAAAUGUAUAGUUUAUUUAAAUUGUAAGUUAUCUUUAAAUUGUAAUACCAAAAAUUACAAUUAUACGUAUUUCAAAUUUUUAAUAUUGCAAUUAUACAUUUGUAUCUAUUAUCUAUUUUGAUAAUUUAUUUUUCUGCAUUUCGUGUGGAACAUUUGUUAAUUUUAUAAUAUUUUUUAGUUAUAAUUUAACACUUAUCUUGAUCUAACAAAACAAUAUUUUAGGUAUUUCAAUUCAUAUCGUUUUCGUUUGUUUAAAGGGGAGAGUUGUUAUUGGAUAAGUGUUAAUGUCCUUCAAAAACUUAUCCCUAAAUUUUGGAGGCUUUGAAAGUUGUAAACUUUUUAUAAAGAAUUUAAUAGUUUGGGAGUUUGAAUAAUUUUUUUUUUACAAAUUUGGGGGUUUAUAUCGAUAAUAUUUUUUUGAUAAUUUGGAUUUGUAUUGUGUCGUCAAUAUUGUUAAUUUUUUUACAAAAGCAAAUUUCAAGCAACUCUUGUAUAUCGAGACAGAGAUAUCUAUUAUUUGAAAACAAACAUAUAAUUAGAGUGUUAAGGAAAAAUAAACAUAUAAUCAAAGUGGAUCUCUAACAAAGUUUGCUCUCCACUUGUUGCUAAAGUUUUCUUAUCAUUCAGUUCCUAUCAUCAUAAAUAGAUUACUUUGCAUUAUAAAAAGGUUUUUUAAGAGAUGUCAACAUGAUUCAUAACGUUUCAAGACUUUACUUUUGUUGGCUUUGAUCUUUCGUAGAAAUCAUCAAUGACGCCAGCAUUAGCGGAAGCAGAUCCAUAAGUAGAGGAGAA
rnacentral:lncRNA from 1 species